GGCACCCAGACCACUUCAUUAAGCUGAAGUGGUCUGGGUGCCUAGAGUGGUCCUUUAAGUAAUCCUUUAAGCAUGAGAAUUUGUAUUUAUAUAUUUAGGAACAGGAGCAAGUGGUGACUGGUGAAGUUUUAAUAUGGUGAGGCAUCAAACUCCGCCUAUGGAAUCUCAUUCCACCCUCUCUGGAAACUCCAUCUCUUAAUCUAUUAAACUCAUAGAAAGUAUCAAAAUAGCAGUUGACCAAAAAAAGAAAUAUAUAGAUUUCAUUUGUUAAACCCUUUGCAUUGUAUGUAUGAAUUUUG